rnacentral:lncRNA from 1 species
GGUUUAAUACUUAAAAGUCCAAAGGCAAAUCUCGUGCAUUUUUCAUAUAAACACUGAUAAAGUCCAAAGGCAAAUCUCGUGCAUUUUUCAUAUAAACACUGAUAACUUCAAUGUUUAAUAUUUUAUUACGUGUGUAUUUGAGCAAGAGUCGAAAUUCGAAUUUUACGGAUGCAAAACAACAGACUCUUCUGGUCGACGUGGAAAUAGAGUAAAACUAAGCUUUUUUGGUAAAUUGUCAAAUGUUGCAACCAAAGGUGCUGAAAAGGGGGAUUUGGAUGUAAUAUGCAUCAGCAUCAUGUAAAGAGAUACCAUUUGAUUUUUUUUUUAGAGGGGGAGGUGGUGCUAAGAUGUUAUUUCAGAAAAUCAGGACAGGAGUUUGGAAUAAAAAAAAACCAGGAUGAGCAAAUUUGCAAAAAAAGGGGAUAUCAAUUCUUGUUAAAAAAGUCAGAAUAAACUAAUAAAAAAGGUAGGAUGAAAAGGGUGAAAAAUAAAAAGGAAGGACAGAGAUUACAAAAAAAUCAUAUAUAUUUUUGCCAUAUUUUUGAUCCCCCCCGUUUUCCCCCGCCAUAAGAAUUAAAUGAAACCAAAACCGGCCGUAUUUGUUUAUAAAAUAACCAUCCUAAAUAUAUCCUAAAGUUAGGACCAUCCUAAGACCAUCUUAAGACACCUAAAUUGGUAUCCUAAAGUUAGGACAAUUCCUAGGAUUUUCCUAAGUUGCAACAUGUUUGAUAAACCCAUUUAGGACUAAGAUAUGUCCUAAGUUGGUCUUAGGACACGUCCUAAUCCUAAGAGAGCUUCGAUAAACAGGCCCCUG